rnacentral:rRNA from 1 species
AAUCAACGCUGGCGGCGUGCCUAACACAUGCAAGUCGCACGAGAAAGGGGCUUCGGCCCUGAGUACAGUGGCGCACGGGUGAGUAACACGUGAAUCAUCUACCUCCGAGUGGGGAAUAACCUAGGGAAACCUGGGCUAAUACCGCAUAACACUUACGAGUCAAAGCAGCAAUGCGCUUGGAGAGGAGUUCGCGGCAGAUUAGCUAGUUGGUGGGGUAAUGGCCCACCAAGGCGAUGAUCUGUAUCCGGCCUGAGAGGGCGCACGGACACACUGGAACUGAAACACGGUCCAGACUCCUACGGGAGGCAGCAGUGGGGAAUUUUGCGCAAUGGGGGAAACCCUGACGCAGCAACGCCGCGUGGAGGAUGAAGUCCCUUGGGACGUAAACUCCUUUCGACUGGGAAGAUAAUGACGGUACCAGGAGAAGAAGCCCCGGCUAACUUCGUGCCAGCCGCCGCGGUAAC